GCCCGCCUAGCUCAAUCGGAUAGAGCGUCAGACUUUUACGGACAGUCUAGCGGGCUGAAGUGAUGUAUCUGAAGGCUGCGAGUUCGACCCUCGCGGUGGGCU